GACGAACGCUGGCGGCGUGCUUAACACAUGCAAGUCGAACGGUGAAGCUCCAGCUUGCUGGAGUGGAUCAGUGGCGAACGGGUGAGUAACACGUGAGCAACCUGCCCCUGACUCUGGAAUAAGCGCUGGAAACGGCGUCUAAUACUGGAUACGAGAAGUGUCCGCAUGGGCACUUUCUGGAAAGUUUUUCGGUUGGGGAUGGGCUCGCGGCCUAUCAGCUUGUUGGUGAGGUAAUGGCUCACCAAGGCGACGACGGGUAGCCGGCCUGAGAGGGCGACCGGCCACACUGGGACUGAGACACGGCCCAGACUCCUACGGGAGGCAGCAGUGGGGAAUAUUGCACAAUGGGCGAAAGCCUGAUGCAGCGACGCCGCGUGAGGGAUGACGGCCUUCGGGUUGUAAACCUCUUUCAGCAGGGAAGAAGCGAAAGUGACGGUACCUGCAGAAGAAGCACCGGCUAACUACGUG
rnacentral:rRNA from 1 species